rnacentral:rRNA from 1 species
UACGUAGGGGGCAAGCGUUGUCCGGAUUUAUUGGGCGUAAAGAGCGUGUAGGCGGCCAGACAGGUCCGUUGUGAAAACUCGAGGCUCAACCUCGAGACGCCGAUGGAAACCGUCUGGCUAGAGUCCGGAAGAGGAGAGUGGAAUUCCUGGUGUAGCGGUGAAAUGCGCAGAUAUCAGGAAGAACACCCGUGGCUAGGGCGGCUCUCUAGUACGGUACUGACGCUGAGACGCGAAAGCGUGGGGAGCGAACAGG